AUGCAUCUCACCUGUUUGACAUACCUGGAGCAGUUAAUGUCUGCUGCAGAGGUUUCCACUAUUGAUGCAAGAAGGAAGUGUUCUUGCACUUUCUGUCUGAUUGUGGCAGUCAAGAUUGCAUAAGGAAAUACAGGA
rnacentral:snoRNA from 1 species